rnacentral:rRNA from 1 species
CUCUUUGAUAUUAAUAAAUAAAGAGUCGGACCUGCCCGGUGAAUAACUUUUUAACGGCCGCGGUAUUUUGACUGUGCGAAGGUAGCAUAAUAAUUUGCCCUAUAAUUGAGGGCUGGUAUGAAUGGUUUGACGUGAACAAUGCUGUCUCUGCAUUGAUUUUUGAGAAUUUGAUCUUUAGGUGAAGAAACCUAAAUUCUAUUAAAAGACAAGAAGACCCUAUUGAGCUUUAAAAAAGUAGGUAAGAUUUGAUUUAUCUUAUAGAGAAUUUUAUUUGUUUAAUUAUUUUGGUUGGGGCGACUAAGGAACAGUUAAAGCUUCUUUUAUUAUAUAAAAUUUUACAGAUGUUGAUCCAAACAUUUUGAUUAGAGAAAUUAGCUACCAUAGGGAUAACAGCAUAAUUUCUUUUGAGAGUUCUUAUCGAAAAGGGAGUUUGUGACCUCGAUGUUGGACUAAAAUUUCCUGAAGAUGUAGUAGUCUUCAAGGGUUGGUCUGUUCGACCAUUAAAAUU